ACGCUCGACACCUACGGGAGGCAGCAGUGGGGAAUAUUGCACAAUGGGGGAAACCCUGAUGCAGCGACGCCGCGUGAGCGAAGAAGUAUUUCGGUAUGUAAAGCUCUAUCAGCAGGGAAGAAAAUGACGGUACCUGACUAAGAAGCCCCGGCUAACUACGUGCCGCAGCCGCGGUAAUCUGAGCGGGCUGGCAAGGC
rnacentral:rRNA from 1 species